rnacentral:rRNA from 1 species
UAAUACGGAGGGGGCAAGCGUUGUUCGGAAUUACUGGGCGUAAAGCGCGCGUAGGCGGUUGGGUAAGUCAGAUGUGAAAGCCCCCAGCUCAACUGGGGAACUGCGUCUGAUACUGCUCGGCUUGAGUCCGAUAGGGGAUGGCAGAAUUCCCGGUGUAGCGGUGGAAUGCGUAGAUAUCGGGAGGAAUACCGAUGGCGAAGGCGGCCAUCUGGGUCGGUACUGACGCUGAGGCGCGAAAGCUAGGGGAGCAAACAGG